rnacentral:rRNA from 1 species
GAUGAACGCUGGCGGCGUGCCUAAUACAUGCAAGUCGAGCGAACAGACGAGGAGCUUGCUCCUCUGACGUUAGCGGCGGACGGGUGAGUAACACGUGGAUAACCUACCUAUAAGACUGGGAUAACUUCGGGAAACCGGAGCUAAUACCGGAUAAUAUAUUGAACCGCAUGGUUCAAUAGUGAAAGACGGUUUUGCUGUCACUUAUAGAUGGAUCCGCGCCGCAUUAGCUAGUUGGUAAGGUAACGGCUUACCAAGGCAACGAUGCGUAGCCGACCUGAGAGGGUGAUCGGCCACACUGGAACUGAGACAAGGUCCAGACUCCUGCGGGAGGCAGCAGUAGGGAAUCGUCCGCAAUGGGCGAAAGCCUGACGGAGCAACGCCGCGUGAGUGAUGAAGGUCUUCGGAUCGUAAAACUCUGUUAGUAGGGAAGAACAAAUGUGUAAGUAACUAUGCACGUCUUGACGGUACCUAAUCAGAAAGCCACGGCUAACUACGUG